GAUCCUGGCUCAGAUUGAACGCUGGCGGCAGGCCUAACACAUGCAAGUCGAACGGUAACAGGAAGCAGCUUGCUGCUUUGCUGACGAGUGGCGGACGGGUGAGUAAUGUCUGGGAAACUGCCUGAUGGAGGGGGAUAACUACUGGAAACGGUAGCUAUACCGCAUAACGUCGCAAGACCAAAGAGGGGGACCUUGGGCCUCUUGCCAUCGGAUGUGCCCAGAUGGGAUUAGCUAUAGG
rnacentral:rRNA from 1 species